AUUUAGAAGAGAAAAAUAACUUAUUUUACUUGAAUAUAAUGAAGUUUGAAUUCAAACAUAUUUCUUGUUUGCGAUGUGAAAACGCCUCUAUUUCCUCGAAAAAGGGCUAACAUACUUUCAAAGUUAGUUAGGGAUUUACUUUUGAGAUAUCGAGGCAAUAUAAUUUAUAAUGAUUCUUGUUUGUAUUUGCCAGUAUUGAUUAAGUAGGAUCUACCUCGAGAGAUGGCUACUGAGAGUCAUUCUGACAUUCAGUGAGCUUCCCAUGUUCCGAAUUCAAAUUUCUUUAACCCUUUCUGCUAUUUAAAUUUGUUAGGUUGUUUUCCCCUGGCGCUUCCUCGUGUAGAACAAUGUUAUGUCUUCCACUUGUUCCUGCUAUUUAUCUCAGUAUUGUUAGAUUGUUUUCCCCUGAUUUAUCUCGUGUAGAACAAAGUUGUUAUAUCUUUCACUUGUUCUUGCUGUUUGGCGAUCACUGAAAUUCAGGAGAGGGAACCUGAUUUUUACUUUACCGGUGUUUUAUUUAUUUAAAUUAAUGCGUUUUUGCUCGGUAAUAUUUAUAACAGAGUCUGUGCAAUUUGUUCGUAAGAAUUAUUUCUAACAUUAUUUAUUAUUUGGCUAAUUUGCUUACUGACUCUCAUAAGUGCAAUAUAUUUAACAAGCUCGUUGAUAGCAGGCAGCUUUCCUCUUAUUCGUCUGUAGUUCCUUGUUUUUCGUUCUCUUUAUUCUUUAGUGAUCAAUUGAGAUUAAUUUUCGGUGUUGAUAAUUUAGGCUUGGAAAAAUUAAUGCAGUCUUUCAUUAACUGGAAUAUUCGUUUGGUUUGCGGUGCUUCCUUUGCACGCUGACUUAUGUUAGCAGCUGAUACUGAUGUGCAAGCUUAGCGGCCGUUUUUUAUUUUUAGCGGCCUUUAAUCCAGAUAAGGUGAGAUCAUGGCAUUUGAAAUUACUCGGGACCUUCUAAACACAUGUGCAUUAUCCGUUUAUAAAUAUGUCCCCCAACCGUACAGGUCCUCAUUACCAGGUUCUUCGAUCAGGGAUAUGUCUUAAUCACGAGUAGAAUAUUUUCAUCACAUAUGAGAGAUUGAAUCGGUUGCUGCCUGAAGGAUUUGGUUAGAUCCUUCUCGGCGAGGUCUGUUUGAUCCUAGCUAGCUUCCACAGCUUCAAGAUAAUCAAAACUCAGAUUAUCUUCAAUAUUUAUCCGGUGAUGAGAACUAUCAUCCAUGACUCGGACAAUUUUCGUAUCGUGUAAUGUUGCAAGAUUUUAACGCCCAACACAAAUAAAAGUAGCUGCUGUGAGCGGAAAAAGUGCUCAAACCUUGAAGGCACUUGAAGAUCAUAUGAAGAAAAUCCUUGUGACUCAACUAACUUAAUAACUAAUAAGAUUGUUCCGGGCGACACAUAUCUCGAUAUAAAAACCAGGAGGAUGACCCCUUAAAGUCCUGGACAUCCACAUAUUUAUUGAGAGCUUUACGAUCGUUUGCGUCAUUAAUUUAUCAGUAAGAUAUAUUUAAGAGUAAGAAAUAGAGGUUAAGCCUAUGGUUUCUGUUUUUUUUUUGUGAAGUAUCUGAGCACAACUGUGGUUCGAAGUCAUUCGAUUCUGCAGGGUUCAUUGGGUUCGUUUCUCUCAGAAUAUUUUGUGCAGUGCAGCCUCUGGUGACCAUUUGAAUCACAAUCGUGAUUCACGAUUGUUACAACAUGUAAUCAUGUGUCGGAAUUAAUUGGAAAAUGCAGCGUCGUUCUGAUGCUUAUGGUAUGGGUGACUGAACGCGCUAUUUAGGAGGACACCAGCUGGGGCUCCAGUCUGUGUACGAGAUUUAAGAAUGUGUUUGCAUAGAAAAUGGAUUGGUUAGUUUUGUAGGAAUGAAGCAUCAUAUUUAUAAACAAAAUUGUCUGAUUAUUGAUGAUGUUUAGUAAGAUAGACGUUAUUAUUCCAAAAACUUGUUCUGCAUAGUAUGUUUAUACUUAAAUUAUGAAACGUUACUGCCUGUUUUGCCAAGCUGUGAGGCUAAAUCCAAAGUGCUGAACGCUUGACCGCUAUUUUGGUUCACUGUGUUUGUAAGCAUCGGCCACAACGCGCACUAAUUGACUCAUUUUAAUUCAUCCUAGAGCACUCCGUGAUAUUUUAAUCAUUCUCAGUAAUUAUAGUCUUCCGGAAGUGUUCAGGACAAACUAACCUUUUCCGUUCAUUGGACUCUCAGCAUAUGCACAUUAUGUCGGUGAUGGUCGUGGAAGUUACAGUGGCCUUAGUGCCCUUUAAAUCUCACUUAUCAUCUCCCUCCUGGUUGCCACCACUAGUGAGGAGCAAUUACAAUAACUAAACUUGGUGUUAUAAUAACAACUGUAUAAUAAUAGUAAAAAAUUGAGAUUUUCGCUGCUUUAACGAAGCUCUCUGAUGAGUCAGUGCAAAGAUCGUGGUGGUUGUUCAUGCGUUCAUCAAUCAAAUUUUGUGGGCGGUUUAAUUGAUGUGUAGCUAGUAUUUGCUGCCCACUGGUGAGCAACGUGAAUAUUGAAGAGUAUUUCUAAGCUAUGUUUGAUGCAAGAUCAUUUCGGCAGAUAACUUGCGUGCGUAAAGCUAAGCGGCGGCGACUUAUUAUCACGUAUUUGUUACUUAGGAGAUGUUAAGUCGUGCCAAAUGUGUUAGCCUAAGCAAUGUGUAGUACAGUAGCGGUGUAGCUGACGAGGAGCUUAGUUAUCAGACACCUGACUUUGAAAUAGCGUUUAUUGAACGUUGUUUCAACGUCAUUUGUCUAGUGGGAUAUAUAGUCACCUAUAUACUAAAUACUCAGGGGUCUGUACGUAUAAAGCUCUACACGAAACACAUCCUCUUUGCUCUCUGACGCCAGUGCUUUACCUUCCUGCAUUUGGCGAGAUGCUCUCGCUUUGUUCUUAUUGAUGAUGUUAGCCGCCUUGUGCGUUCUCUUGCAUAAAAUGAUUCUGGUUUUCCCCUACACAAUUUGAUAGUUCCGAGUUAUCCAAACAGAUACCACAACGUCUACUGUUUGCAACACAUCAAAGAAACACCGUUAAUUUCCAUGUUUGUGAGGCAUAUGGACAAGAAGUAUUGUAGAGCAAGUCGUUUUCUUAACUUCAGUGUACUCACCUUACCAAUUGAUUGGAAAUUAGCUCAUUAUUAAAUCGAUAAUGCGAACUACUGGUUGAUUUUUACGCUGCAGUAUCUGGAACUAGAAUUAUCUUCUCUUUUCGGGACUUGUCAUCUCUGCGCCAAAGCGUAGGACGCGAUCACAGUUAUUAUGCAAUUUAUAUAUAUUAUAUUUGAAAGCGUAGCACAUGGCCUAGAGAGGCGCGGGGUAGGAAAUUUCAAUGGUGUAAUGGAGGACAGGAGGGAUCAUAUCUUGUUGGUUGGGAAUACUGACUGAGAGUGUUUUUUAUUUAGUUAAAAGGCGUACUUUGAGAACCAACAAAUUGGUAACCGUCAUAGCCCUUGAUGAUCUAUCCCAGCUAUUGAUCAUUUAUCACAGCGCCUGAUGAUCUAUCGCUAUGAUCUCGCAAGAAGUUCAUAACGACAGCUCGCAUGCUUGCAUUAUGCUACGAACAGAACGCGUCUGUAGGGCGGACAUUUGUAAACGAGGUGCAAUAAACGGUUCAAAAGUC